rnacentral:rRNA from 1 species
UACGUAUGGAGCAAGCGUUAUCCGGAUUUACUGGGUGUAAAGGGAGCGUAGACGGUUAAGCAAGUCUGAAGUGAAAGCCCGGGGCCCAACCCCGGAACUGCUUUGGAAACUGUUGAACUAGAGUGCAGGAGAGGUAAGUGGAAUUCCUAGUGUAGCGGUGAAAUGCGUAGAUAUUAGGAGGAACACCAGUGGCGAAGGCGGCUUACUGGACUGUAACUGACGUUGAGGCUCGAAAGCGUGGGGAGCAAACAGG